rnacentral:rRNA from 1 species
UACGGAGGGUGCAAGCGUUAUCCGGAUUCACUGGGUUUAAAGGGUGCGUAGGUGGAUCGGUAAGUCCGUGGUGAAAUCCCCGAGCUUAACUCGGAAACUGCCAUUGAUACUAUCUGUCUUGAAUAUCCUGGAGGUGAGCGGAAUAUGUCAUGUAGCGGUGAAAUGCUUAGAUAUGACAUAGAACACCAAUUGCGAAGGCAGCUCACUGCGGGAUUAUUGACACUGAGGCACGAAAGCGUGGGGAUCAAACAGG